AGUUUUCUGCUAUUAUUUCUUUUUAAAAAAAUUUUUUUUUAUUUUAAAGAGUAAAAGAAGGACAGUAUAGCAAUAGGGAGAUUCACCGAAUUAUGGACAAAGUGGAUCCAACCACCUAUAUCAAUUUUGGAGAGGGGAGGGGAGAGUCCAGUGUACUUGGUCCAGCACUUCAUUCUCCAGAAAUGAAUGACAGCAUUGUUGAUGACCCAAAGACAAACCAGAUAUUGGCAGACAAUGAAAUCCAAUUAAUAGGAAAAUGCCAACUUGGCAAUAUUAACAAAAUCAUCAAGAAUCAAAGACAAAUGUGAUAUUGACACACCACACCAUAAGGACCAAUAAAAGCUACACUGUGCCACCCUUAA